rnacentral:tRNA from 1 species
GUCGGGAUNGCUCAGUUGGU